GAUGAAGAACGUAGUGAAAUGCGAUAAGUAGUGUGAAUUGCAGAAUUCAGUGAAUCAUCGAAUCUUUGAACGCACAUUGCGCCCCUUGGUAUCCCGAGGGGCAUGCCUGUUCGAGCGUCAUUUCACCACUCAAGCCUGGCUUGGUGUUGGGCGACGUCCUCUUUGGGGACGCGCCUCGAAACGCUCGGCGGCGUGGCACCGGCGUUAAGCGUAGCAGAAUCUUUCGCUUUGGAAGUCGGGGCCCCGUCUGCCGGAAGACCUGCUCGCAAGGUUGACCUCGGAUCAGGCAGGGAUACCCGCUGAACUUAAGCAUAUCAAUAAGCGGAGGA
rnacentral:misc_RNA from 1 species